rnacentral:rRNA from 1 species
AACGAACGCUGGCGGCAGGCUUAACACAUGCAAGUCGAACGGACGUAGCAAUACGUUAGUGGCAGACGGGUGAGUAACGCGUGGGAAUAUGCCCUUUAGUUCGGAAUAACCAAGGGAAACUUUGGCUAAUACCGGAUAAUCCCGAGAGGGGAAAGAUUUAUCGCUGAAGGAGUAGCCCGCGUCUGAUUAGCUAGUUGGUGAGGUAAUGGCUCACCAAAGCGACGAUCAGUAGCUGGUCUGAGAGGAUGAUCAGCCACACUGGGACUGAGACACGGCCCAGACUCCUACGGGAGGCAGCAGUGGGGAAUAUUGGACAAUGGGGGCAACCCUGAUCCAGCCAUGCCGCGUGAGUGAUGAAGGCCUUAGGGUUGUAAAACUCUUUUAUCCGGGAAGAUAAUGGCUGUACCGGAAGAAUAAGCCCCGGCUAACUUCGUGCCAGCCGCCGCCGUAAAAC